AGCAGCAUGGCGCAGUCUGGAAGCGCGCGGGGCCCAUACAGGAUGCACGGCAAGUGUAAUCUCUCAACCCCGAGGUCACUCGAUCGAAACGAGUUGCUGCUA